rnacentral:rRNA from 1 species
AGAACGAACGCUGGCGGCAGGCUUAACACAUGCAAGUCGAGCGAGGACUUCGGUCCUAGCGGCGGACGGGUGAGUAACGCGUGGGAACGUGCCCCUUUCUUCGGAAUAGCCUCGGGAAACUGGGAGUAAUGCCGAAUACGUCCCGUAAGGGAGAAAGAUUUAUCGGAGAGGGAUCGGCCCGCGUUGGAUUAGGUAGUUGGUGGGGUAAUGGCCUACCAAGCCGACGAUCAGUAGCUGGUUUGAGAGGAUGAUCAGCAACACUGGGACUGAGACACGGCCCAGACUCCUACGGGAGGCAGCAGUGGGGAAUCUUGGACAAUGGGGGCAACCCUGAUCCAGCCAUGCCGCGUGGACGAUGAAGGCCUUAGGGUUGUAAAGUCCUUUCGCCGGGGAAGAUAAUGACGGUACCCGGUAAAGAAGCCCCGGCUAACUCCGUGCCAGCAGCCGC